UGGCCACUAGAAAAUUCAAAAUUGACUGAGGUUGACCGAGGUCCUCCGAAGUCCUCAUUGUGACAUAGCAAAAGGGGGCGGGGCUUGGGAUCGGUCAAUUGGUAACAUUACUUUGUGU